AAGAUAGGGUAAAUGACACCAGCAUCAAGCAGUUUCAAAAUUUCUUUUUUUACUACUUCUUUCAAAUUGGGAUUUAACCUCCUCUGUGGUUCAAUGCUUGAAUAGGAUUCGUUUUCAAGAUGGAUCCUAUGGUUGCAUAAACUAGGUGAAAUUCCCUUAAUGUCGGAUAAUGAAUAACCAAUCGCUCUCCUAUACUUUCUAAGGUCAGAUAAUAGCAGGCUCACUUCAUCACUAUUUAACUCAGCAUUAAUGAUCACAUGGUAAGUAGAGUUUGUACCAAGGAAUGCGUACCUUAGACCUUUAGGAAGUGGUUUGAGAUCAACCUUCAGUGCCUUAAGUUCAGACCAGUCAUCUGAAGUUGGAAUGAUCGGCUCCCCAUAUUCGUUGGCAGACAAGGUCGUGUACGUCCUCGAGAGUGCAGGUUGAACUCGAGUUGACCCUUCUUCGCUCAUUACCAUUACCUCCGUUGCUGGUCCAUUCAAUUCCUCAAAAGGUUCUGAUUCUUCCAUCGCUUUAUGGGAGUCUAUCAGCUUCUGGUAUCCCAAUGUUUCCAAAUGCAGAAACCCAUCUUCACCACUUUUGGUUAAAGCACUGUUAAGAUGAUCUUCUUCUGCCAGCUCUUCCAGUAAUUCAUCGGCUAACUGAUCCAUUUCUUCGAUCCAAAAGAGUUGCCCUUCUAUGGUAGGUUUCUUCAUCGCGUCUUUGACAUCAAAGGUCAUCCUAAAGUCUUUGCCAAGGUUUAGAUUAAUUUUCCCUUUCUUGACAUCAAUCAUAGCUCCUGCAGUGGCUAAGAAAGGUCUCCCUAGAAUCAAAGGGUCCUUAGGCUCUUCAUCCAUCUCCAGGACUACAAAGUAAGUUGGUAUCUCCACAGCACCGAUCCUGAUUGGGAGGUUUUCGAGCAAACCAUGAGGGAUCCUUACUGAUCUAUCAGCUAGGAUGAGGGAUAUACUGCAGGACUUGUAUUGAGUGAACCCCAAUCUUUUGGCGACAUAGAGCGGCAUGAGACUGACUGAUGCUCCUAAAUCGCAUAGGCAUCUAUUGAAAGCCAAUGGACCUAAAGAGCAUGGUAGAGUGAAUGAACCAGGAUCACUAAGCUUCUUAGGAAUGAUAUUCUUCUGUAUGAUAGCACUGCAUUCAUGACUCAAUACCACCAUCCCUUGCACUUCUUGAAUUCUCUCCACGAUCAAGUCUUUCAAAAACUUGUGAGAGUCUAGGAUUAGCGCUAGAGCGUCAACAAGAUGUAUCCGCAACUCAACCUCCUUAAUAUUCUUGGCAAACAUAGCUCUAUAUUUAUCUGUCAACGCUUUCUUGUGACGGCCAAGAAAUGGAAGCUGCGGUUUGUAGGGAGGAGGGACAAAGACCUUUUCUUUGUUUUUAACAGCAACUGGUUUUGGAGAAGUUGGUGAUGCUGCUGGGACGAUAGGUCGAGUUGCAGGUCGAGUAACGUUGUCGAGUGGCAGAUCGAGUGGUCGCUCGAGUGACAGGUCGAGUGGUUGCUCGAGUGACUGGUCGAGUGGUUGCUCGAGUGGUUUGUCAGCUUGAUCUUUCUCGAGACUUAAAUCCUCCCCAUCUUGAUCUUCACUGUCCUUAGUGACCGUCUUUGGUUCCUCCCUAGUUGGAAGUGCUUUUCCACUACGCAGUGCGAUAGCAUGAGUAUAUUCUUUUGGAUUCUGAACUGCUUUGCCUGGUAGUUGGCUUGUCUGUUUUGGAGCUGAAGAAGAUGCAGAAUGUCCCUCUAAGUAUCGGACUUUGGUAUUCAGUGUUUCCAUCUUGACAUUGAGAUCAUUGUAGCUACAGUCCAACUUAUUAUGUAACUCAGAUAUCUUCUUUGCCAUCUCCAUGGAGCUAGAGGCUUGCCCGUGAAGCAGCUGUUGUAGCAUUUGUUUCAUAUCAGCCUAAGGAGCAGCAGGACCUUGGUUUUGCUGAUGUGCAAACCUAGAUGGUGGUGGUUGCUGGUAGUUCCCCUGAAAUUGGUGCUUAGGAACGAAACCUUGGUUGUAGGGAACAAAAGGUUUGUUCUGACCUUGUUGUUGCUGCGGAGGAUACACCUGAUCCUGAGGAUUAGCAACGUUGGUGCUGCGGUAGGAGAGGUUGGGAUUGUUGGCUUUGAAGUUGUUGUAUCCUUUGUAGCCACCCUGAUUGUUGUUGAUGUAGCUGACUUCUUCCAACUGGUUACCCUCCCCAUCUUGGACUUGAUACUGCUCGUCAUCAACAAGGAAGUGCACAUGCUUCUGCUGGCUAAGAAGAAUCAUGUCCAGCUUGUCAUUCAGCGCUUUGAUAUCCUUCCUGUGUUUGUCAUCAGAGUCAGCUGUUCCUCUGACGGUCCUAUCUCAGUCCUCGUUGUAAUUGCCAUCUGAUUGAGCAAGGUUCUCAACCAAUUCCCAGCCUUCUUCAACAUCCUUGUUCUGGAAAUUCCCAUUGCUGGCGGUAUUCAGAAGCAUUCUGAUGCGUGGUAGGACUCCUCUGUAAAGAGUGCUGAGCAGAGAGGCUUUAGUAAAGCCAUGAUGAGGGCAUUGGUUGGUGUAACCCUUGAAACGCUCCCAUGCUUCACAGAAGCUUUCACCAGUCUUCUGUGAGAAACCAGAAAUCUCAUUUCUGAGUCUUGCAGUUCUGGCAUUGGAGAAGAACUUUGAUAGAAAAGCCUUCUUGCAAUCAUCCUAGGUUGUGAUUGAGUCAUGGGGCAGAUUCUUCUCCCAGAUGUGUGCUUUGUCGCCCAAGGAGAAUGGGAACAAACGGAGCUUGAAUCCGUCUACACUGACACCAUUGAUCUUUGUUAGGUUGCAGAGCCUAUCGAAUUCAUCAAGGUGGUCGAGUGGAUCCUCCAUUGGCAGACCAUGGAAUUUGUUCCCCUGAAUCAUCGACAUGAGACCACUCUUAAUCUCGAAGUUGUUGUUCUGGAUAGCAGGAGGUGCAAUUCCCUUCUUCUGACGGUGAUCACGUGGUGCAUCUCAAGCAACAAUCAAGAUGUGAUCAGAAGUCACUAAGUCAAGCCAAGCAAUAACAGGUUUUGGUGCGUUCUAACAGUCCUAAGUGAACAUGCAGAAAACAGAUUAUCAAGCAGAAACAAAUAAACACUCGACCAACACAACUCGUUGCAGAGCACUGGGUGUGGUCGAGUGACAGGUCGAGUAACAGAAAAAUAAUGUAACAGGGAUACUCGACUGCACAGUCUGUUGCCAAACAACUGGGUGGUCGAGUAUCAGGUCGAGUAACAGUAAAGAAUUGCAGAAACUAAGCAACAGAUGACAGGAUGCAGUACACAGCAGUAGAGUAAACAAUAAAAUCAAUCAGAUAAAGAAUUUCUAAGGAUGGGGUAAUUGAGUAGUUUCGUUUCCUCAGUUUACAGGUGAUUGACAUGUUCAAUAAAUUAACCCUAGACAACAACUUCAUUAACCAAAUCUAAGUGCCACCGCAACAGAGACUCUCAAGCUAACCUAGUCCCAGACUCAAUCACCAUUGACGAGAGCUAACCUAACAGGCAUUACAAAUCAACAAGUUAAAGCCAAAACGCUCCCUGCAACCAAUACCUUGGUACAGGGUCACGAAUCUCUGGAAUUAGUGGUUCAGACAUUUCAUCGAACACCUUUUGGGCGCGGAAAUAUCUGGGCUCAAAUUCCAGUUGAUUAGAAAGCAAUAGGCAUUAAGAACAACUAAUCCAGAAGGGAUCUAUCAACCAAUACUCAAUCACCUAGCAUACUGAGAAUUCUACACUACUCUAACCCAUCCUCAGAAACCUAUUCACUACUCAGACAUCAUAACAGAAAGCAUAAACGUUGAACAAAUUGAAAACAUGAUAACAACAAUGUAACAGCAGGAUGAUAACAGAAUGAACAACAGUAAACGAAAUCAAGAACAGAAACUGAAUACUGAAUACUGAAUAGAUAAAGAGAAAUUCGGAUUACAAAAAGUCUAGAACACAAGGUCUGCGGAAAUAAAACUAGAUAAAAAACUUCUUGUCUGCGAAAAUGUGAAGUACAUGCUACUUAUAGCCAAAUAUCCCGAAACUCUAAUACUCAAAACGACGAAGUAUUGGGACGGGUUAAGAACUGUACUCGACCCACGUGGUCGAGUGAGAGGUCGAGUGAAUAGCUGGAGUCUUCUUUUCUUCCUUUUGCUCGAGUGUCUGGUUGAGUGCGGAAUGAAGAAGGCUCUGAAGCUUGUCAUCGAGUAUGCAGUCGAGUGGUGGUGAUGGUGAUACUCGACAUCCAGGUAGAGUGAUAAGGUCGAGUAGAGGUCUGGCAAUGGGAUGAAGUCACUCGGCCUGGGGGUCGAGUGAUGUGAUCGAGUGGUGUCAGAAGAUACUCGACUUCCAGGUUGAGUGACGAGGUCGAGUGGUGGUCUGAUGAUGGAGGUGAAGACACUCGACCUCAUGGUCGAGUGAUGUGAUCGAGUGAUGGUCUGGUGAUGGAGAUGAGGGCACUCGACCUCGUGGUCGAGUGGUGAAGUGAAGUGGUGAUGUCCUCUGCUCGACCAGGGGGUCGAGUGGUCUCUUGAGAUCUUGAAGCUCCUACUCGACCUCUUGGUCGAGUGGUUUGUCAUGAUCAGGUCCUCUUCUUCCAGAUAGCUCGUCAACAGCUCCAAAUCACCUGAAAUCAACGCAAAUAUGCAAUAUGCAUGCAAAACUAUCCUAAACAUGCAAAGUUAUGACAAAUGAUGUGAAAUGGUAUAAAACAGUGAUGAUAUGAUGCUAAAAUAAUGACAAAUAGAUGCUCAAAACAUGCAAAAUACACACUUAUUAGAUAGAUUAAGAACAAUGUCACCUUGGUGGUGGUGACUAACCAGAUGGUCUUUCUCCUUGCUUAACAUCGGCCUUACUUGGCUUAGUCUG
rnacentral:sRNA from 1 species